rnacentral:rRNA from 1 species
AUUGAACGCUGGCGGCAGGCCUAACACAUGCAAGUCGAACGAGUGGCGGACGGGUGAGUAAUGUCUGGGAAACUGCCUGAUGGAGGGGGAUAACUACUGGAAACGGUAGCUAAUACCGCAUACCAUCAGAUGUGCCCAUAUGGGAUUAGCUAGGAGGUGGUGUAAUGGCUCACCUGGGCGACGAUCCCUAGCUGGUCUGAGAGGAUGACCAGCCACACUGGAACUGAGACAGGGUCCAGACGCCUACGUGAGGCAGCAGUGGGGAAGAGGGCACAAUGGGCGGAAGCCUGAUGCAGCCAUGCCGCGUGUGUGAAGAAGGCCUUCGGGUUGUAAAGCACUUUCAGCGGGGAGGCGUUACUCGCAGAAGAAGCACCGGCUAACUCCGUGCCAGCAGCCGCGUUAAUUC